rnacentral:rRNA from 1 species
AGUCAACAUGCCUAGGGGACGUGGAUAACCUCGGGAAACUGAGGAUAAACCGCGAUAGGUCAUCACUUCUGGAAUGGGUAAUGACUUAAAUCUAUAUGGCCCCUGGAUUGGACUGCGGCCGAUCAGGCUGUUGGUGAGGUAAUGGCCCACCAAACCUGUAACCGGUACGGGCUCUGAGAGGAGGAGCCCGGAGAUGGGCACUGAGACAAGGGCCCAGGCCCUAUGGGGCGCAGCAGGCGCGAAACCUCUGCAAUAGGCGAAAGCUUGACAGGGUUACUCUGAGUGAUUUCCGUUAAGGAGAUCUUUUGGCACCUCUAAAAAUGGUGCAGAAUAAGGGGUGGGCAAGUCUGGUGUCAGCCGCCGCGGUAAUACCAGCACCCCGAGUGGUCGGGACGUUUAUUGGGCCUAAAGCAUCCGUAGCCGGUUCUACAAGUCUUCCGUUAAAUCCACCUGCUUAACAGAUGGGCUGCGGAAGAUACUAUAGAGCUAGGAGGCGGGAGAGGCAAGCGGUACUCGAUGGGUAGGGGUAAAAUCCGUUGAUCCAUUGAAGACCACCAGUGGCGAAGGCGGCUUGCCAGAACGCGCUCGACGGUGAGGGAUGAAAGCUGGGGGAGCAAACCGGAUUAGAUACCCGGGUAGUCCCAGCUGUAAACGAUGCAGACUCGGUGAUGAGUUGGCUUAUUGCUAACUCAGUGCCGCAGGGAAGCCGUUAAGUUUGCCGCCUGGGGAGUACGGUCGCAAGACUGAAACUUAA